rnacentral:lncRNA from 1 species
UAAGAAUAAGAAAAAUAUAUUUAUUACAAAAUUGAAGUUAUAAUAAAAUACAUUACAAUGUACUAUUAAUACAUACAUGGAAUACAUGUUUUUUUUUAGGUAUGAGGUACACAAAUCUCUAAACAACACUUUGAAAGCAUUUGUUAGCAAAUUACUCGAUGAAAAGUGUAACAAUAUAAAAAUGGUAAACCUUUUUAAAUAGCAUUCAGUACUUAUAUGUUUAGUUCCAUUAUAUGUUUUAGGCUGAUAGGAUGAACUAUUAUCUUAUAUUUGAACUAUGACAGUGACAAGUCAUAAAGAAGGACAAUAAAUUAACAAAAGACAAACCCGGGUACAGAUAAGACACAAACAAUAGACCAUCAACACUGAAAACUAAAAGUAAAAUAGAAACAUGGAUCACGAAUUACAUGCAGGGGAGACAUCAGAGAGUGAAGAGAACUUGCUGCUUGCAAGACACUUGCCGUGAAAACAAUUUAAUAUGACGACAAGUUUUUGUUUUAACUUUCUUUUUUUUAAAUUUC